rnacentral:lncRNA from 1 species
UCACAGAUCUUUAGGGGCAUUACAGGUAUUUCUUACACAGCCUACAGUUUCAUAGCUCCUCUAACCAAACGGUCUUCUGCUUUUCCCACAGCUGCUUUUCCACAGCCCACAGCUCACAGCAGCUUUUCCAAAAAUCACAGCCUAACCAAACGCACCCUUAGCUGUGCGUGUUGUGGUAUGCUUACCACAGCACGUAUUAACAUGAGGUGAAAGAAUAAAAGCAAUGGAAUACCCUUACUAUCAGUGACAUCAUUCAUUGUUCUACAACUCUUUGUAGAACAGUCUGCCUUGAAAUUUACUUGUAAGUCCGUACCUGCAAAAGAGCAAACAAUAUAUGUCUUCACGCAGAAUACACAAGGGAUAAGUUACAUAUAGCUAACAAAAACUGAAUAUAUAGGUUCUAUUAAUGUCGAAAGGAACCGAGCAAUAGGGCAUAUUUGCUAAACUACUGCAGACUUUCGAAAAAGAAAUGGUGUAAGUUUGUUCUGGUCCUUAAAAUAUUAGAAAUCAGAAUCUCCAAGGUUGGCAUGUUCAUAAAAAGGAAAAGAGUCAGUGUCCAAAAUCCUCAUUUGUGGCGAUAACUUAUUUUCAGGGAGCAUGUACUCUUAAGAAACAUCUGGCGGUCAUUCAGGAUGCUUGAGUUAUUAUUUGCAGUAUCAACUAAAAUUAGUGUAAAAGAAUACUUUGACACAAAAGAAUCUUGAUUUAAGCAUCACAAUAUUACCCUGCAACACAUCUCGUCUCAUCUGUCUGACUGGAUUAUCUGAAAACACAAUAUUAUUAUCCUGCAACAGAGGUCACCAAUUUGAUUGGAUCAUCUCAAAAUUGAUACAAACAUGGUGAGCUAAACAAAUAAACAUACGACUAAAAAGGAAUAUAUAUGAAGAGAGUUUUAUGGAAUACUGAAUCUAAAAGGAGUUGAAUAAAAUAAUGAGUUCAUCUUUACUUUCGCAAAAAAAAAACAAUGAGUUCAUCUUUCAGGGAAAAAGAAAGAACAGAUGUGUUCAGCUGUAGAGAACUCAGAGCUCACCAAAAGAACUUGCUGGAUUAAUAUGUCUAUUGAGGCUCAAGGGUACUAAUCAGUCUGAAAUGAAAGCAAGUUAUAAGACAUAUAACGUACCUGUGCAUCCUGUAAGUGGGAUGCAGAGAGUAGAAAUGGAGCUAGUUAGAAUAAGUGUGAAGUCAAUGGAGGUAGCCUAUGUUGCUUCAUUUACAAUAUAAUUUUUUUGGUCAAAGCUGAACACCUGUGCCAUAUACGCUAUUUACUAUCAGCUCAAAUUAGGAUGGAGCUUGCAGUUAUGUUGGCACAUCUUGAGUUUCCUUGGCAAGAAUAAAGGUGCACCUGAUACUGAUGGAAUCAGAAUGGUAUAUAUUGUGCCCUUGUUCUUCAUGGAUCUCUAUGCUUCAGAAUCAAAUAAAGAUUCAUCAUUGUUUCCGUUAGAGAGAGAAAGACCUCAAGUUUUGUCCAACUGUAUUGCCUU